UGGUCUCUCCAGAUUCUCCGCAGGACUCCAACUGCCUCGCUGGAGUGGAUCAGCCGCACUUGCACCUGGGCCUGCCCAGCCCAGAGCAGGGGGAAGGACAACAGAUUCCAACUGCAGGAAGCAGCCACCACCCUUGGGACUGAAGGAGCUGAGAGAAGUUGUCAGAAUGAUGAAAACUUAGAAACGUAGGAGGCCAUGGAGGUAACACUCAGACCUCUGCGGAAGGGCGCUGCUCAACUCAUUCUGAAAGUGUUGGAAAAACCACAAAUUGGAUCAGCUUCUGCUCCUGCAAGGACCAGAAACAGAACAUAAUUCGGCUGAGUGAAGAAUAAUAGAUAUUAACAGGAGGAUUCUGCGUACCCCAAAUACUGCUGGGAGACUUGAAAAGCUUGAAUGCUAAGCUUCUAGGAAUUAUACCCUACACCACGCUCUGAACAUAACUGCUGAGGCAUCCACCAUCCCUGCUGCUGCCUGACUGAGCAGUAGGAGAAAUUCCCUACUGCUUGUUUACACCAAGGAUGCCAUUUUUGUGUCAGGAGCCUGACCUUGCAACCACCGCUACUCUUGAAAGCCACGUACCUCUGAUACCACCCUUACCAGCAAAAUGGAUUCUGUGUGGAUCUUAUUUUUCAAGUCACUCAUGUCUGAAUUGAAGGAUGGGAUAUUAUGGAAGCCGAGAGAAAAGAGGGUUUCAUAAAGGAAGGAGU